UUUUCUAUUCAAUUAAAAUAAAGUACAUUAAUAAUUAUAUAAUAUUUUUUCAGAGUUAAUUAGUAAUAGGCCGUCCCUUCAGAUUUCCCGAUAACGAUCUGCCCUAGAGAUUGGUCACAACAACGUCACAUGGCAAUAUUCGAGAUUGUCAAACGCCGCGCACCUGCUUGCAACCUGACAUUUUGAAAUUUUUAUUGAAGAAGAAUGUUGAUCAACAAUGUCAACUAAGUGUUCGGUGAAGGCUCCAAAAACGAACGAAUAAUUAAGGCCUAACUUGCAGAUACACAGAUAUCAAGUACAGCUAGAGAACAGGUAAAGUGACUCGCCUCAGCAUGCAAUUCGAGUUACCUGUACACCACACCUGCCAACUUGACGCGUGCCUUUACGGAGAUGUUCUAUUAUCAAUACAGGAAUAUGUGAUGUAUAGAGGCAAUAAAUAGUUUAAUUAAUAAUUUUAAUGAACAUUUAAACCAGUUAAACUCUAACAUAUUUUAA